CCCUUAGAUGUCCGGGGCCGCACGCGCGCUACACUGAAGGAAUCAGCGUGGCUUUCUCCCUGACCCGAAAGGGUUGGGAAACCCGUUGAAUCUCCUUCGUGAUAGGGAUUGGGGCUUGAAAUUGUUCCCCAUGAACGAGGAAUUCCCAGUAAGCGCGAGUCAUAAGCUCGCGUUGAUUACGUCCCUGCCCUUUGUACACACCGCCCGUCGCUCCUACCGAUUGGAUGGUCCGGUGAACUGGUCGGACUGAUAAUUGUCACUGCGGGUGCAGUAGCAUUACGGAAAGUCCGGUGAACCUUAUCAUCUAGAGGAAGGAGAAGUCGUAACA
rnacentral:rRNA from 1 species